GUAACACCCUGAACCAGGGUUAGGGUAGCUUAAGUAAUUUUUACCAGUUAUGAAGCAUCUUCAUGAUUUUAACCUAGUUUAUUAUGAGCAUCUGAAUGCACAUGAAAGGUGAGGGAAUAUCAAAAUUUUAUGAUGUAAAUUGGAUGGAAACUUUCCAGGAAGUUUGAUUCAAAAUCAUUUCAAAAAUGUCGGGAUUUCAGCUGUUACAGAAAAUUUUACGGUUCCACAGAUUGAGAGUGCAAUAACUCUGGAUAUAGUCCAUGAAUCUAAGUAAAAUUUUAAACACCUAAUAUACAUUGAGUAGGGUAUUUACUGUUGAAAUUUCAGCUCAAAUGGAUUAGCCUACAGCCUGGAACAAAGCAAGUUAGGUGAGUCCCUCGGAAGCCUGUCAUUACAGAAAACUGCAGACCUAGAUUUGUCCAAAAUUUCUAUAAAAAGUAGGAAGCAUGACGUGGCCUAAAACCUAGUUUUUAAAACCCCUGGGAACCACUCUUUUGACACGUUAGGUGUCUGGGAAGCUAACGUGUCAAAAGGGGGGGUGUCUAGCAUGUUUCAGCAGGCAGCAACUUGUGCUGCUGCUGUUCAACCGUUAGGAGUUCAGUGGUUGGUUGUAGGUGCCAGCCCAAAUCAGGCCAGGAAAAGCUCCAGGGAGGGAGAGAGGAAGCUAGGGAAGAGAGAGAGCUACUUGGGGAAUCCAAAUAAUUUGUGGAAGAAGGUUUAAAGUAAAGAGGAAGAGCAACUUGCUGUUGGGCUGCAGAACAGAAAUACAGAAAUUUUUGGUGCACCCAGGCUUCCUAGCAAAUUUCAGGAGGAGAAGAGAGUCCCGGAAGUGUGCCGGGAGUAUCAAGCACUAGGGUGGUGCGUUAGCCAUCACAAGAUCGGCAGAGUCAUAACAUUAUAAAAGUACCGCAUCAGCAUCAUCCUAGAAGUUUGUCAUAGAAGGUUGGCCAUGCCCCUCUGAGUGAAAGGAAAAAACCUUUGUAUUAUGCAUAUAGUUGGGGUGUGAAUGUAAACUAACUUGAGACAGAUGUAAAGUUUGUUAUAUUUUGAGCUAUGUAUAGUAGACUUUAAGUUAUCAAUGAAAGCUUGGGUUGCUUUUAGUUA